rnacentral:lncRNA from 1 species
UAAAGUGGGUGGUGGAGUGACGAUGGGAUGUAGGGAGAAAAGUGAGACGUAGGAGAAAGCAAAUCAACUUUCGAGAACGAGGUGUGCCUCUUGUGCUGUGUCUCUUGUUUAUAAAGGAUCCAUGUGCUGUCUCGUGGCGGCAGGAAUCAGUGUGUAAUUAAGCUAAUCUAUGAAGAAAACCCCUCCAGAAAACUAUUGUAGAAGGAGCGUGCAAUGGUGAACAAGAGCUACGGAAGAUGAUGGAGCGUCAAAUUAAGAUUGGCCACCGCGGACAGGCAUCGACAGGAUAA